AGCGGGGUGACUGGGGAAGAGGUGAGGUAAUAAGGACAGAAGCAAGGCAAAGAGGGGUCAGGGACGAGGUAAUUGGAGAGAGACAACACAAACGUCUAAAGAAAGCAGGCCGUCAGUGCCCAGAUACCAGAGUCCGGAAGGCCGCAGUACCUGGGGCUGCGCCCCGCCGCGGCCGGAGCGGGUGCCCCUGGCCAGCAGCUCCCAGCGCCAAGGUCUUCCGACGGCCUAGGUGCGGGCCGCGCCUGGAGCUGGGCCUGGCCGACCAACCACACGGGGGCGCUGGCCCGGGCGGGGGCAGCCGGGGCGUUGCCCGCGCAGCGCACCAAGAGGAAGCCGUCCAUCAAGGCGGCCCGCGCCAAAAAGAUCUUCGGCUGGGGGGACUUCUACUUUCGGGUGCAUACCCUAAAGUUUUCGCUGCUGGUGACCGGCAAGAUCGUGGACCAUGUGAACGGUACCUUCAGUGUGUAUUUCCGCCACAACUCGUCCAGCCUGGGCAACCUCAGUGUCAGCAUCGUGCCGCCCUCCAAGCGUGUCGAGUUCGGAGGAGUCUGGCUGCCCGGGCCUGUCCCCCACCCUCUGCAGUCUACGCUCGCCCUGGAGGGGGUGCUUCCUGGGCUGGGGCCCUCGCUGGGGAUGGCAGCAGCAGCGGU
rnacentral:sRNA from 1 species